AAGGGAAUUUUCGGCAAUGGGGGGAACCCUGACCGAGCAACGCCGCGUGAGUGAAGAAGGUUUUCGGAUCGUAAAGCUCUGUUGUUAAGGAAGAACGAGUGUGAGAAUGGAAAGUUCAUGCUGUGACGGUACUUAACCAGAAAGGGACGGCUAACUACGUGCCAGCAGCCGCGGUAAUACGUAGGUCCCGAGCGUUGUCCGGAUUUAUUGGGCGUAAAGCGAGCGCAGGCGGUUAGAAAAGUCUGAAGUGAAAGGCAGUGGCUCAACCAUUGUAGGCUUUGGAAACUGUUUAACUUGAGUGCAGAAGGGGAGAGUGGAAUUCCAUGUGUAGCGGUGAAAUGCGUGGAUAUAUGGAGGAACACCGGUGGCGAAAGCGGCUCUCUGGUCUGUUACUGACGCUGAGGCUCGAAAGCGUGGGGAGCGAACAGG
rnacentral:rRNA from 1 species